rnacentral:rRNA from 1 species
UGCGGAAUAUUGCACAAUGGGCGCAAGCCUGAUGCAGCCAUGCCGCGUGUAUGAAGAAGGCCUUCGGGUUGUAAAGUACUUUCAGCGGGGAGGAAGGGAGUAAAGUUAAUACCUUUGCUCAUUGACGUUACCCGCAGAAGAAGCACCGGCUAACUCCGUGCCAGCAGCCGCGGUAAUACGGAGGGUGCAAGCGUUAAUCGGAAUUACUGGGCGUAAAGCGCACGCAGGCGGUUUGUUAAGUCAGAUGUGAAAUCCCCGGGCUCAACCUGGGAACUGCAUCUGAUACUGGCAAGCUUGAGUCUCGUAGAGGGGGGUAGAAUUCCAGGUGUAGCGGUGAAAUGCGUAGAGAUCUGGAGGAAUACCGGUGGCGAAGGCGGCCCCCUGGACGAAGACUGACGCUCAGGUGCGAAAGCGUGGGGAGCAAACAGG